GGCGACUCCAAGUGGACAAAGCUGUGGCAACUGCACGUAGCUUUACUGGAAGAGAAGAGUCCCUUGUCGAGGCUGAGUGCCAGGAGGUUUUAACAACUAAUUGACAUCCGGGAUCCUGGUUCCAGAAAGCUUCAAAGGCAGAGCUAACACUUGAGCAUUCGGGUAAGAGACACACCAUUCAGCAUUGCAGACCGCUCGAUCCAAUCUCUCCUUCACCAAAGCAUCUCCAACUCUGUUAUUGGACCACGUGUAAGCACAACCAUGAGAAGGUAAAUCCAACAACCGGCAAUCAUUGAGGAGCUCACGAAAAGAGUCAAGGCGGUGCAUGAAGACAAGUAAUUCUCAUAGACCUGGC